AUUUGAACUGUCUGGCCAACUUAGUUAUUUAAUCUUACUUGUGCUUUAACUGCAGCUUGAUUGGCUACAAGAAGAGUAUGAGAUUGUUUGUGAGUUGCUUUAUUACACGAAAGAGCAAUGGGCGAUAGCAGAUGCUGUAGCUCAGAAAUAUGAAAAUCAGUCUACUUUUGAAUCCACUGGCCAAACUAAGGAUGCGAAAGAUGAAGAAAUCAUUGCUCUUCGGGAGGAAGUUGAGUAUUGGAAAGACCAGCUGGUGAUUGUAUUGCAACAGCUCAAAGAAAAAGAGAACGAAGCACAAUCUCUUCGAUCAAACAUGCGUAGAUUUUUCCUAAGUGAGGAAGAAAUGGAAGAAGUUGUUGCUAAGAGGUGUUGGCUUUCUCGUUAUUGGGGUCUAGCUCUUCAUUAUG